UACGGAGGGGGGCUAGCGUUGUUCGGAAUUACUGGGCGUAAAGCGCACGUAGGCGGCUUUGUAAGUUAGAGGUGAAAGCCCAGGGCUUAACCCUGGAAUUGCCUUUAAGACUGCAUCGCUAGAAUCGUGGAGAGGUGAGUGGAAUUCCGAGUGUAGAGGUGAAAUUCGUAGAUAUUCGGAAGAACACCAGUGGCGAAGGCGACUCACUGGACACGUAUUGACGCUGAGGUGCGAAACGUGGGGAGCAAACAGGG
rnacentral:rRNA from 1 species